UUAAAUUGAAGAGUUUGAUCAUGGCUCAGAUUGAACGCUGGCGGCAGGCCUAACACAUGCAAGUCGAACGGCAGCACAGAAGAGCUUGCUCUUUGGGUGGCGAGUGGCGGACGGGUGAGUAAUGUCU
rnacentral:rRNA from 2 species